rnacentral:sRNA from 1 species
AAAAAGAUAAGAACAUACAUGCAUAAUUUGAAAUCCUUAAAUUUCAGUCCAUCUACAUAUACAUUUUUGCCGCCACUUUGUGAAAUAAAUCCUCAAGUUGGGACUUAUUUACAGUGGCUGCCACUGAUAUUUAAUAAUUGUUUUUUGAUAAUUAGAAAGUAAAUCUUCGAAUUAAAUGUUUGCAUUUAACUACCUUCCCAAAAUCUCUCUGCAUUAACUAUACGAUUAGUUAUUAAAAUAAAACUUUCAAAAUAUUUAAUAUCAUUUAAACACUACAAAAUUAUCAUUUUUGAUAUUACUUUUUUAUGACUAUAACAAUUCGAUUAUAAGCAGCAAACCGUAGAGAUAUUUGAUAGCAAUUAAUUA